rnacentral:tRNA from 1 species
AAGAGAUUAGUUUAUGAUUAAAAUUUUAGAUUGUAAAUCUAAAGAAUUUGUUUCUUA